CACGUAGGGCGCAAGCGUUGUCCGGAAUUAUUGGGCGUAAAGAGCUCGUAGGCGGUCUGUUGCGUCCGCUGUGAAAACUCGGGGCUUAACCCCGAGCCUGCAGUGGAUACGGGCAGACUAGAGGUAGGUAGGGGAGACUGGAAUUCCUGGUGUAGCGGCGAAAUGCGCAGAUAUCAGGAGGAACACCGGUGGCGAAGGCGGGUCUCUGGGCCGAUACUGACGCUGAGGAGCGAAAGCGUGGGGAGCGAACAGG
rnacentral:rRNA from 1 species